rfam:Puccinia sorghi strain RO10H11247 Scaffold_1301, whole genome shotgun sequence.
GGGCAGAUGGCCGAGUGGUCUAAGGCGCUAGUUUUAGGAAGCAGUCAUGCACGCAUGUUCCGAAAUCACUAGUCUUCGGGCGUGGGUUCAAAUCCCACUCUGCUCA